GCCUGGUUUUACCGCUGGAUGCGAUGUGUUCUGUUGCUGACUUACCGUUCAGAAACUUCUCCUUUUCAAAUAUGUGACGUGAGCGUUGAGUUGGGGGCGUGGCCAGCAGCGGCAUAUUUGGAUUUAAAGUGACAAGAGCCGUUAAAACAGCUAAAACAUAACUGACUAGACUACAAUCUCAUUACGAUUUUGUGCACAAAAUGCCUAUAAUCAUGGAGGGCACAAACGUUGCAUGCAGCAGAUUUCAUCAACUUUCUUCACACCUUUAUGUGUUGAAGACGUGCAGCUCUGGAAUCUCUGAUCAAUAUUUCUGGGACUCGGAGCACCGCUUGGUGAAUGUUGCGACCGCCGCCUAUCUGAAAGACACACAACUGCCGAGAGAAAGCAUCCACCAGCUUCUCCACGCCGUAAUGCGUCAGGAUGGAGGUGUUGUACAAAAACUGGGAGUACGGGAUUUCUUCUCCGUCGAUGAGGAAGCUGUCCGGCAUGAGUGGGUGCCAGUGGUAGA